ACCACCUGGGGAUCUUGUUAAGAUGCAGGUUCUGAAUCAGUAGGUCUGUGAUGGGAUACGAGAUUCUGCAUUUCUAGCAAGCUCCCAGCUGGGGCCAA
rnacentral:pre_miRNA from 1 species